CAUAAAUGCAUGUGUUUUUUUUCAUUUUAUAUCUAUUUCAAUUGGGUAUUUUGACUUUUUCAGGUAGAGAAAUGUCUGCGACUAAGCCGAGGGCCACUGCAUAAGAGUAAUUGAUUGCAAAACAGGGUGGAGACUACAUGAGAUUUUGACAGAUGGCGGGAAACCCUCAUCAACUGGAGAUCAGCCGGUAGAGAAAUGUCUGCGACUAAGCCGAGGGCCACUGCAUAAGAGUAAUUGAUUGCAAAACAGGGUGGAGACUACAUGAGAUUUUGACAGAUGGCGGGAAACCCUCAUCAACUGGAGAUCAGCCGGUAGAGAAAUGUCUGCGACUAAGCCGAGGGCCACUGCAUAAGAGUAAUUGAUUGCAAAACAGGGUGGAGACUACAUGAG